rnacentral:rRNA from 1 species
CCUACGGGUGGCAGCAGUGGGGAAUAUUGCGCAAUGGGCGAAAGCCUGACGCAGCGACGCCGCGUGAGGGAUGAAGGUCUUCGGAUCGUAAACCUCUGUCAGCAGGGAAGAACGGUCACUGUGCUAAUCAGCAGUGAAUUGACGGUACCUGCAAAGGAAGCACCGGCUAACGCCGUGCCAGCAGCCGCGGUAAUACGGAGGGUGCGAGCGUUAAUCGGAAUUACUGGGCGUAAAGCGCUCGUAGGCGGUAUGUCAAGUCAAGGGUGAAAUCCCCGCGCUCAACGUGGGAACUGCCUUUGAAACUGGCAGACUGGAGUGUGUGUGAGGAUAGUGGAAUUCCAGGUGUAGGAGUGAAAUCCGUAGAUAUCUGGAGGAACAGCAGUGGCGAAGGCGACUAUCUGGCACAUAACUGACGCUGAGGAGCGAAAGCGUGGGUAGCAAACAGGAUUAGAUACCCGGGUAGUC